GUGACUCCCACUCCAGGCUUUCAUCGUCCUAUCCCCUAGAGGUCCUCUAAGACCUAAGAUGGCGGUGUUCGUACUGAGGGAAAGUACUGCCGGCGAACCAGGUGUGGAAAGCAGCCAAUGAACAAAUGUGAGGAAAGUACAGAAGCUCGCCAACUUUUGUUUUGUGAUGAGGACUUCUGGGCGUUUUAAUAUUAACAUUUGUUCUAGAAGCACAUUGUUCUGUUCAGAGUAUAUCCUGGAAGAAGUCACUCUGUAUCAGAUUUAGAGCAUGAGCGGAGGGGGGCAGGCAGAGGAGGAGAGAGAAGUAGACUCCCUGCUAAACAGGGAGCCCGAUGCGAGGCUGGAUCCCAGAACCCUGAGAUCAUGACCUGAGCCGAAGGCAGAUGUUCAGCUACCUGAGCCACCCAGGCCUCCCUUCCCUGAUGUCCUCUAAUGGUUGGAUGCCUAAACAAAUUCCGGGUGACUCCAUUUGUGCAGAUCUCCAUGGCAACAAAUGUGGCUUAAUACCAGAGAAAGCAUGCAUCUAGUCUACUUUGGAGUGAGAAAAAGAAGCCCUUUGGAGCUGGAGAAUAGGGUAAUUUUAGAGAUGAGAGAGCUGAAGAAGGGGAUCUCCUUAUUUUGUAUAUGAACUGAGGGUUUUUUAAGCUCAUUUUCAAUGUGAACAUGUAUGGGAUAGUCCAAAAUAAAGCAGAGAUAGCUUUUGGAAUUUAUAA